GGGCUGGGGCUCAGUGGCAGGGCGCUUGCCUAGCACGUGAGAGGCGCUGGGUUCGAUCCUCAGCACCCCA
rnacentral:tRNA from 1 species